rnacentral:siRNA from 1 species
CAACUGAUGCAACUUCACAUAAU